UGGGGAAUUUUACGCAAUGGGCGAAAGCCUGACGUAGCGACACCGCGUGAGCGAAGAAGCCUUUUGGGGUGUAAAGCUCUGUCAGCUGGAACGAAAACAAUGACGGUACCAGCAGAGGAAGCAUCGGCUAACUACGUGCCAGCAGCCGCGGUAAGACGUAGGAUGCAAGCGUUGUCCGGAUUUAUUGGGCGUAAAGAGUUCGUAGGUGGUUUGUUAAGUUUGGUGUUAAAGAACGGGGCCUAACCCCGGUAGUGCACUGAAUACUGGCAGACUUGAGUGCGGUAGAGGUAAGUGGAAUUCCAAGUGUAGCGGUGAAAUGCAUAGAUAUUUGGAAGAACACCGGUGGCGUAAGCGACUUACUGGGCCGUAACUGACACUGAGGAACGAAAGCCGGGGUAGCGAAUGG
rnacentral:rRNA from 1 species